rnacentral:tRNA from 1 species
GUUUCUUUAGUUUAAUUUUGAAUAAAAUUUUGAAAAGAUUUAGGUUUUAGGAGACG